rnacentral:rRNA from 1 species
GACGAACGCUGGCGGCGGGCUUAACACAUGCAAGUCGAACGGAAAGGCCCUGCUUUUUUGGGGUGCUCGAGUGGCGAACGGGUGAGUAACACGGGAGUAACCUGCCCUGUACUUGGGGAUAUCUUGAGGAAACUGGUGCUAAUGCCGGAUAGGAGCUGCUGCUGCAUGGUGGGGGUUGGAAAGUUUCGGCGGGUGGGGAUGGACUCGCGGCUUAUCAGCUUGUUGGUCGGGUAGUUGCUUACCAAGGGUUUGACGGGUAGCCUGCCUGAGAGGGUGGACGGGGACCAGACGCCUACGAGAGGGAGCAGUCGCGUAUAGGAGACAACAGUCGGAAGCCUGGCACAGCCGGCGCAAGUGUGAUGAAGAGAUCCCGCGUGUGGAAUGCAGGCCUUGUGGUUGGAAACCGCUGUAGGCUGUGACCAAGCGUGAGUGACGUUAACGGGAAAAGAAGCACCGGCUAACUACGUG